rnacentral:rRNA from 1 species
UAGGGAAUCUUCCGCAAUGGACGCAAGUCUGACGGAGCAACGCCGCGUGAGUGAAGAAGGAUUUCGGUUCGUAAAACUCUGUUGUUAGAGAAGAACAGCGCAUAGAGUAACUGUUAUGCGUGUGACGGUAUCUAACCAGAAAGCCACGGCUAACUACGUGCCAGCAGCCGCGGUAAUACGUAGGUGGCAAGCGUUGUCCGGAUUUAUUGGGCGUAAAGCGAGCGCAGGCGGUUUUUUAAGUCUGAUGUGAAAGCCCACGGCUCAACCGUGGAGGGUCAUUGGAAACUGGAAAACUUGAGUGCAGAAGAGGAAAGUGGAAUUCCAUGUGUAGCGGUGAAAUGCGUAGAUAUAUGGAGGAACACCAGUGGCGAAGGCGACUCUCUGGUCUGUAACUGACGCUGAGGCUCGAAAGCGUGGGUAGCAAACAGG